rnacentral:SRP_RNA from 1 species
GCUGGGCAUGGUGGUGCAUGCCUGUAGUCCCAGCUACUCAGGAGGCUGAGGCAUGAGAAUCACUUGAACCCAGGAGGCAGAGGCUGCAGUGAGCCGAGAUCACGCCACUGCACUCUGGCCUGGGUGACAGAGUGAGACCCUGUCUCAA